rnacentral:rRNA from 1 species
UACGAAGGGUGCGAGCGUUAUUCGGAAUCACUGGGCGUAAAGAGCGUUAAGACGGCUUGUUAAGUUAGCUGUUAAAUUACCCGGCUCAACCGGGUGUCUGCAGUUAAAACUGGCGAGCUAGAGUGUAGAAGAGAAAAGUGGAAUUCUCGGAGUAGCGGUAAAAUGCGUAGAUCUCGAGAGGAACACCGGUUGCGAAGGCGGCUUUUUGGUCUACUACUGACGUUGCAGCGCGAAAGCGUGGGGAGCAAACAGG